AGAGUUUGAUCAUGGCUCAGAAUCAACGCUGGCGGCGUGCCUAACACAUGCAAGUCGAACGCGAAAGGGGCUUCGGCCCUGAGUAGAGUGGCAAACGGGUGAGUAACGCGUGGGUGACCUACCCUCGAGUGGGGGAUAACGUUCCGAAAGGGACGCUAAUACCGCAUAAUAUCCUGCUCCUGAACAGGUGACGAUCAAAGCCGGGGACCGCAAGGCCUGGCGCCUGAGGAGGGGCCCGCGUCCGAUUAGCUAGUUGGUGGGGUAAUGGCCUACCAAGGCGACGAUCGGUAGCCGGCCUGAGAGGGCGGACGGCCACACUGGGACUGAGACACGGCCCAGACUCCUACGGGAGGCAGCAGUGGGGAAUUGUUCGCAAUGGGCGCAAGCCUGACGACGCAACGCCGCGUGGAGGAUGAAGGUCUUCGGAUUGUAAACUCCUGUUGACCGGGAAGAAUGCCUUCGGGAUUAACACUCCCGGAGGGUGACGGUACCGGUUGAGGAAGCCCCGGCUAACUCUGUGCCAGCAGCCGCGGUAAUACAGAGGGGGCAAGCGUUGUUCGGAAUUACUGGGCGUAAAGGGCGCGUAGGCGGCCAACUAAGUCGGACGUGAAAUCCCCAGGCUCAACCUGGGAACUGCGUCCGAUACUGGAUGGCUUGAAUCCGGGAGAGGGAUGUGGAAAUUCCAGGUGUAGCGGUGAAAUGCGUA
rnacentral:rRNA from 1 species